UGGGGAAUAUUGCACAAUGGGGGAAACCCUGAUGCAGCGACGCCGCGUGAACGAAGAAGGUAUUCGUAUCGUAAAGUUCUGUCCUAUGGGAAGAUAAUGACAGUACCAUAGAAGAAAGCUCCGGCUAAAUACGUGCCAGCAGCCGCAGUAAUACGUAUGGAGCGAGCGUUGUCCAGAAUUAUUGGGCGUAAAGGGUACGCAGGCGGUUUAAUAAGUCGAAUGUUAAAGAUCGGGGCUCAACCCCGCAAAGCUUUGGAAACUGAUAAACUUGAGUAGUGGAGAGGAAAGUGGAAUUCCUAGUGUAGUGGUGAAAUACGUAGAUAUUAGGAGGAAUACCAGUAGCGAAGGCGACUUUCUGGACACAAACUGACGCUGAGGUACGAAAGCGUGGGGAGCAAACAGG
rnacentral:rRNA from 1 species